rnacentral:tRNA from 1 species
AAGGUACUAGUAAAACAUUACACUGUCUUGUCAAGCCAGAAUUGCGAGUUAGACCCUCGCGUACCUUU